rnacentral:ribozyme from 13 species
UUCUCUCUCUUCCUUUUCCCCCCCUGCUUCUUGGUUUUCUUUUUCUAUCUCAUUUUCGGUCCCAUUUUCGCCAGGAAGUGGAAAGGCUGGUGUUUCUGUCGUGUAUUUGUAUGAAAAAGCAUUUAAAAGGGUAGGUAUUUGUUGAUGUCGCGCAUGGAAGUUAUUUUCAUUGGUGUUGUUAUCUUCCAGAGAAUAAGCAAAAUGACGAAUCAUA